UGGAAUGAUGGUUUUAGAGAGUUGUUUAGUAGUCCUCACCAUUUUUGUAAAAUAAUGUAUCAAUAAUUAUGAUGAGGAUUUAUUUGUAUGUGGAUAUUGCAAUAUCUGUAUUUAAACUCACAGUUUUACUGUUGUAAUAAUAAAGUUGUAGUUGUUUCUGUACCAUGUAUUGAUAACUCAGAAUGGGUGAUGUAUACCUAUUUUGGGGGUGUCACAAGUCAUGUUUGGAUUUGUA
rnacentral:lncRNA from 1 species